AAUCUAUUGUCCUGCUAGUGAUGCAAGCUCAACGUUUUUCCCUCACUGAUCAGACGGCGAUCCGAUUCAACAAUAAUGCUUACUUUCAUUUUCAAAGCAACGGCAGCAGAACGAUCGGCGGUCAUUAAGUUGACAAUGGUUGAAAUCUUUCGUUCGAAGGCAAAUUAGUCCACUCAAUCAUUUCAGCCAAGAUUGCAGGCAGAUUGUAUAACGGAAUAAAUACAUUUCCCGUUCCGGACUAUCCGUAUUCUUUGCAUCGAGUUAAGCCUGGACACUGCUUCUAUCUCAAAACUACUUCCCCAGUGGUGAUCAUUCAAAAAUUAGCAAUUAAUUUAAAUUCCGUUUCACAUAUACUUACGUUUUUGUGUCGUUCGGUUGCGAUAUUCGCUCCUAAUUCAAAUCGAUUUAAUUAUAUUCUUUACAUUAUUUGCUUCCAUAGUUCUAAAAUGAUCGGUGCUGAUCUUCCGCUUUUAGUGUGACUUAAAUCAUACGCCAAUAACCUGUUAAUUUACAAUAUUUGUGGUAGAAUGCACUUCAAAAUCGUGUUCAUGGUGAUAGUAAUAAACUCUGCGUGUGUUAUUGGUUCUGACUUGAAUUUUAACAUCACUACGGCAGCUGCAAGCUCGAACUUGAUUUUGUGCUCCCAUUUGUGAAGUUACCAAUUUUGGCGUGGGGCCACUCAUAGAGUUGGAUGCCCAGUCUAUCACUGCUGCCUUUACUGCCAUAGUUUUUCUGUACAUUGUUCCAAAGCUCCUCUUUUUACUAUACCCCAACUACCAGCUUCCUCCAGCGCCUGCAGCGGGACCCGAUAGAGGGGAAAGAUCAUUCGACAUGCCAUUCGAUCUCCACUCAGUUGAAGAAUUCUUGAGAACUUACGUGAUGCCGGUGGAUUCUUGCUCCUCGGCCAAUUCGUCUUACAUGAACAUGAAUAUCACAUCAACCAAUGCAAGCAAAAAAUCUGUAAAAUUUUAUCCUUUGAAUAAAACCGAUUAUGAUGAGCAGUGAUU
rnacentral:lncRNA from 1 species